UUUAGGUGGUUAUGGCACAAGGGUUCCACCUCUUCCCAUUCCGAACAGAGAAGUUAAGCCUUGUCACGCCGAUGGUACUGCAUAAUUGUGGGAGAGUAGGUCGCUGCCAUUUUC
rnacentral:rRNA from 1 species